GACGAACGCUGGCGGCGCGCUUAACACAUGCAAGUCGAGCGAAGCGGCGGACGGGUGAGUAACACGUGAGUAACCUGCCUUCGACCUUGGGAUAGCCUCGGGAAACCGGGAUCAAUACCAAAUGGUCUAAGAUGGACUCGAGUCCCAUUAGCUAGUUGGUGGGUACCGGCCCCCCAAGGCGACGAUGGGUAGCCGGCCUGAGCAGGUGAACGGCCACAUUGGAACUGAGAAACGGGCCAAACUCUACGGGAGGCAGCAGUGGGGAAUAUUGCACAAUGGAGGGAGCUCUGCUGCAGCGACGCCGGGUGAACGAAGAAGGCGUUCGAGUCGUAAAGUUCUGUUAUAAGGGAAGCGGUACCAUAAGAAAAAGCCCCGGCUAACUACGUGUCAGCCGCCGCGGUAAUUC
rnacentral:rRNA from 1 species